rnacentral:rRNA from 1 species
CAGUAGCCGCGGUAAUACGUAGGGUGCAAGCGUUAAUCGGAAUUACUGGGCGUAAAGCGCGCGUAGGUGGUUUGUUAAGUUGGAUGUGAAAGCCCCGGGCUCAACCUGGGAACUGCAUCCAAAACUUGCAAGCUAGAGUACGGUAGAGGGUGGUGGAAUUUCCUGUGUAGCGGUGAAAUGCGUAGAUAUAGGAAGGAACACCAGUGGCGAAGGCGACCACCUGGACUGAUACUGACACUGAGGUGCGAAAGCGUGGGGAGCAAACAGGAUUAGAUACCCCCGUAGUCCCUGUCUCUUAUAA